UCAACAAAACUCUUUAUUUCACUUAUAUAGUUUAUAAAAUCAGCUUGCCUGCUUUGAUGCCAACAUAAAAGGUAUGUGGGACAUUUCUUUGUGUGUGUAUAUACUGUAUAUAUGUGUGAGUGUGUGUAAGUGAAUAUAGGAGUGCUGAUAAGGCAACAUGCAGUCUUCAGUUUUUUUGUGGCUUCAAAAAAAAGAACAGACUGCUAUGUUUGAUAGCUUUGUCCUAGUUACCUACAGCAGACACAAGCCUGGGGUGGAUCUGAACACACCGUUGAGUGACAGGACAAGGGCGGGGUUUGGGUCGCCAUGACGGCAAGGCUAAAUGAAGAUGAAGACGUCAUCUUAUUGGUAAAGAUCUACACUUUAGCAUUCCCUUGAGUCAGCACAGCACAGUGCUACAGAACAGACCAAUAACAAACUUUGCAAUGGUGCUUUAGUAUUGCUUUAACAUUGCGGGCAUCACAAAUUCAUGAUCGCACACUGACUUAACAUGCAUUGCAACAAAAUCAGGACAAAACAGGAUGUGUUUGAAGAUUUGAUCUCUUUCUAUAACAUUCAAAGGCUCCUUGUCCUAGCAGCCGAAGGAUUCAACACCCUUUUUCAACGCAAACCUCAUUCAAGCCCAAAUCUCAUGUGUACAAGCUAAUGAAGAAAUGCAAGUCUAGCACAGCUACAUCAAAACGGAUAAUCGUGUAUCUAUGUAUACAGUAUGCGUUCACAUUUUGUGAAUAAACAUAUUUGUUCGUACUCUAACAAAUCACAUGGUAAGUCUAUUGGUCAAGCACACAGUAACUCCAUUCUGCACACAUACUGAACUAAAGGAAUGUAAUAUAUCUCUUAAUGUACACACAACUUAUUGUGUACAUUGCAGCAUUCUCAAGACUAAAUAAAUUGAAACAUGGCUAUGAUCUCACAAAGAUCCAGACACACAUUGCUACAUGCCCUGAUGAAAUGAGAUGUAUUGCUUUUCUUACAUUACUGGUCAUGCAGGUUUCUUUUUUUUUUUCUUUCAGCCAUGCUCCUAAAAGACCACUUCAACCUCUGAUAUCAGCCACUGGGCUUCACGGUUCCUGUCCAUGUAUGAG